rnacentral:rRNA from 1 species
CCAAUAGCGUAUAUUAAAGUUGUUGCAGUUAAAAAGCUCGUAGUUGAAUUUCGGGGUUAGUAGGUUGAUCAUGCCUCUGGUAUGUACUGGUCUCACUGAUUCCUCCUUCCUGAUGAGCCGUAAUGCCAUUAAUUUGGUGUUGCGGGGAAUUUGGACUGUUACUUUGGAAAAAUUAGAGUGUUUAAAGCAAGCUAACGCUUGAAUACAUUAGCAUGGAAUAAUGAAAUAGGACGUUCGAUCCUAUUUUGUUGGUUUCUAGGAUUGACGUAAUGAUUAAUAGGGAUAGUUGGGGGCAUUAGUAUUCAAUUGUCAGAGGUGAAAUUCUUGGAUUUAUUGAAGACUAACUACUGCGAAAGCAUUUGCCAAGGAUGUUUUCAUUAAUCAAGAACGAAAGUUAGGGGAUCGAAGACGAUCAGAUACCGUCGUAGUCUUAACCAUAAACUAUGCCGACUAGGGAUCGGAUGAUGUUAAUUUUUUAAUGACUCAUUCGGCGCCUUACG